GUGGCGUCCUGAGAGUUUGGCUCCCGGUUUUUAUCCGGAUUCUUUCUGCGUGUCUUUAAUAAGCUGAGUAAAAUACCGUUUUAUUCCCUGUUGGUAAAUAUUGUUGCGGACAUUUCCGGUUUUCUGUUUGUCUGACAGCUGAUCAGGACCAGCAGAUACCAGGACUGGACCACCAGACCACCGGACCCCCCACGGAAAGACGCUACAGCAGCAAAAUCCGACGCUCGGUUUCCUCUCGGCCUUGUGGGAACGGGAAGCGGCGCAUUGUGUUGGAGCUGCUGAGGUUUAAUCAUUAAUGAGCUCAGAGAGAGGACAGCCAUGAUGCAGCUCACACAGUCACGAAUCACAUUCCCAGGUCUGAAGAGGGAUGGAAAAUAUUCCAGGAAUUCCUCACGCUCUGCAGCUGUAGGCAGCGCGAGCCGGCCGGACGCGUCCUUCACGCCACCGUGAGCUCGUGCUCAGGGUCAGUUCACCGAACUGUUACCGCGGGGCGCGAGCGCACGGUCACACCAGCACAAGAGCCCCGGGACGAGUUAAAGAUUAACGGAGGGGAGAGUGAAGCAUCACGGGAAGGAGAGAGAAGGAGGCUCACGUGGACAAGUACGAGAAACAUGCUUAGAAUUAUUAUCAUCAUUUUUAUUAGUAGUUUUUUAUUUUUUAUUAUUUUAUUUUAUUUA